rnacentral:rRNA from 1 species
AGUGAACGCUGGCGGCAGGCCUAACACAUGCAAGUCGAACGGCAGCACAGUAAGAGCUUGCUCUUAGGGGUGGGGAGUGGCGGACGGGUGAGGAAUACAUCGGAAUCUACUUUUUCGUGGGGGAUAACGUAGGGGAACUUACGCUAAUACCGCACAACACAUGCGGGUGAAAGCAGGGGAUCUUCCGACCUUGCGCGAUGGCCUAAGCCGAUGUCGGAUUGGCUAGUUGGCGGGGUAAAGGCCCACCAAGGCGAGGAUCCGGUGCUGGUCUGAGAGGAGGAUCGGCCACACUGGAACUGGGACACGGUCCAGACUCCUACGGGAGGCAGCGGUGGGGAAUUUUGGACAAUGGGCGCAAGCCUGAUCCAGCCAUCCCGCGUGGGUGAAGAAGGCCUUCGGGUUGUAAAGCCCUUUUGUUGGGAAAGAAAAGCAGCAGGUUAAUCCCCCGCUGUUCUGACGGUACCCAAAGAAUAAGCACCGGCUAACUUCGUG